rnacentral:hammerhead_ribozyme from 1 species
AUCCAGAUGAUGAGUCCCAAACAGGACAGCAGGAAUGAGCAUCCUGGAU